GAUUAACGCUGGCGGCGUGCAUAACACAUGCAAGUCGAACGAUGAAAGCUAAAUGAUUUCUUCGGAAUGAUUUUAAGUGGAUUAGUGGCGGACGGGUGAGUAACGCGUGAGUAACCUGCCUUAGAGAAGGGGAUAGCCUUUGGAAACGAAGAAUAAUACCCUAUAACACCAACACCUCGCAUGAAGAGUUGGUCAAAGAUUUAUCGCUCUAAGAUGGACUUGCGUCUGAUUAGUUAGUUGGUGAGGUAACGGCCCACCAAGACAGCGAUCAGUAGCCGGCUUGAGAGAGUGUACGGCCACAUUGGGACUGAGACACGGCCCAGACUCCUACGGGAGGCAGCAGUGGGGAAUUUUCCACAAUGGGGGAAACCCUGAUGCAGCGACGCCGCGUGAUUUAGAAGGCCUUCGGGUUGUAAAAAUCUUUUCUAUGGGAAGAAAAUGACAGUACCAUAGGAAUAAGGACCGGCUAAUUACGUGCCAGCAGCCGCGGUAAUACGUAAGGUCCGAGCGUUGUCCGGAAUCAUUGGGCGUAAAGGGUACGUAGGCGGGUAAGCAAGUUAGAAGUGAAAUCCUGUAGCUCAACUACAGUAAGCUUUUAAAACUGCUCAUCUUGAGAUAUGGAAGGGAAAGUGGAAUUCCUAGUGUAGCGGUGAAAUGCGCAGAUAUUAGGAGGAAUACCGGUGGCGAAGGCGACUUUCUGGCCAUAAUCUGACGCUGAGGUACGAAAGCGUGGGUAGCAAACAGG
rnacentral:rRNA from 1 species